rnacentral:tRNA from 2 species
GGGCCUGUAGCUUAGCUUGGUUGAGCAUCGGUCUUAUAAGCCGAAGGUCAUGGGUUCAAAUCCCGUCAGGCCCA